rnacentral:rRNA from 1 species
AACGAACGCUGGCGGCAUGCCUAACACAUGCAAGUCGAACGAGGUCUUCGGGUCUAGUGGCGCACGGGUGCGUAACGCGUGGGAAUCUGCCCUUUGGUUCGGAAUAACAGUUGGAAACGACUGCUAAUACCGGAUGAUGACGAAAGUCCAAAGAUUUAUCGCCAGAGGAUGAGCCCGCGUAGGAUUAGCUAGUUGGUGUGGUAAAGGCGCACCAAGGCGACGAUCCUUGGCUGGUCUGAGAGGAUGAUCAGCCACACUGGGACUGAGACACGGCCCAGACUCCUACGGGAGGCAGCAGUGGGGAAUAUUGGACAAUGGGCGAAAGCCUGAUCCAGCAAUGCCGCGUGAGUGAUGAAGGCCUUAGGGUUGUAAAGCUCUUUUACCCGGGAUGAUAAUGACAGUACCGGGAGAAUAAGCUCCGGCUAACUCCGUGCCAGCCGCCGCAGUAA